rnacentral:lncRNA from 1 species
GACAGACAGUGGGUUAGGGUAUGAAACAGACAGACAGUGGGUUAGGGUAGGAAACAGACAGACAGUGGGUUAGGGUAUGAAACAGACAGACAGUGGGUUAGGGUAGGAAACAGACAGACAGUGGGUUAGGGUAGGAAACAGACAGACAGUGGGUUAGGGUAGGAAACAGACAGUCAGUGGGUUAGGGUAUGAAACAGACAGUGGGUUAGGGUAUGAAACAGACAGACAGCGGGUUAGGGUAUGAAACAGACAGACAGUGGGUUAGGGUAGGAAACAGACAGUUUGUUAGGGUAGGAAACAGACAGACAGUGGGUUAGGGUAGGAAACAGACAGUGCGUUAGGGUAGGAAACAGACAGUGGGUUAGGGUAUGAAACAGACAGUGGGUUAGGGUAUGAAACAGACAGACAGUGGGUUAGGGUAUGAAAGAGACAGACAGCGGGUUAGGGUAGGAAACAGACAGACAGCGGGUUAGGGUAGGAAACAGACAGACAGUGGGUUAGGGUAGGAAACAGACAGUGGGUUAGGGUAUGAAACAGACAGUGGGUUAGGGUAGGAAACAGACAGACAGUGGGUUAGGGUAGGAAACAGACAGACAGUGGGUUAGGGUAUGAAACAGACUGUGCGUUAGGGUAUGAAACAGACAGACAGCGGGUUAGGGUAUGAAACAGACAGUGGGUUAGGGUAGGAAACAAAGAGUGUGUUAGGGUAGGAAACAGAGAGACAGUGGGUUAGGGUAGGAAACAGAGAGACAGUGAGUUACGGUGUGAUACAGACAGACAGUGGGUUAGGGUAGGAAACAGACAGUGGGUUAGGGUAGGAAACAGACAGACAGUGGGUUAGGGUAUGAAACAGACAGACAGUGGGUUAGGGUAUGAAACAGACAGACAGUGGGUUAGGGUAUGAAACAGACAGACAGUGGGUUAGGGUAUGAAACAGACAGACAGUGGGUUAGGGUAUGAAACAGACAGACAGUGGGUUAGGGUAUGAAACAGACAGUGGGUUAGGGUAUGAAACAGACAGACAGCGGGUUAGGGUAUGAAACAGACAGACAGCGGGUUAGGGUAUGAAAGAGACAGACAGUGGGUUAGGGUAUGAAACAGACAGUGGGUUAGGGUAGAAAACAGACAGACAGUGGUUUAGGGUAGGAAACAGACAGACAGUGGGUUAGGGUAGGAAACAGACAGUGAGUUAGGGUAGGAACCAGACAGUGGGUUAGGGUAGGAAACAGACAGUGGGUUAGGGUAGGAAACAGACAGUGGGUUAGGGUAUAAAACAGACAGUGGGUUAGGGUAUGAAACAGACAGUGGGUUAAGGUAUGAAAGAGACAGACAGUGGGUUAGGGUAUGAAACAGACAGACAGUGA